rnacentral:rRNA from 1 species
UGGGGAAUUUUGGACAAUGGGCGAAAGCCUGAUCCAGCAACGCCGCGUGCAGGAAGAAGGCCUUCGGGUUGUAAACUGCUUUUGUUGGGGAAGAAAAUUUUUAGGCUAAUAUCCUAGGAGUAUGACGGUACCCAAAGAAUAAGCACCGGCUAACUACGUGCCAGCAGCCGCGGUAAUACGUAGGGUGCAAGCGUUAAUCGGAAUUAUUGGGCGUAAAGCGUGCGCAGGCGGCUCCGUAAGACAGUGGUGAAAUUCCCGAGCUUAACUUGGGGUCUGCCUUUGUGACUGUGGGGCUUGAGUGUGGUAGAGGGGGGUGGAAUUCCGCGUGUAGCAGUGAAAUGCGUAGAUAUGCGGAGGAACAUCGAUGGCGAAGGCAGCCCCCUGGACCUUUACUGACGCUCAUGCACGAAAGCGUGGGGAGCAAACAGG